rnacentral:rRNA from 1 species
GGGAAACUCACCAGGUCCAGACACAAUGAGGAUUGACAGAUUGAGAGCUCUUUCUUGAUUUUGUGGGUGGUGGUGCAUGGCCGUUCUUAGUUGGUGGAGUGAUUUGUCUGCUUAAUUGCGAUAACGAACGAGACCUUAACCUGCUAAAUAGCCCGUAUUGCUUUGGCAGUACGCUGGCUUCUUAGAGGGACUAUCGGCUCAAGCCGAUGGAAGUUUGAGGCAAUAA